rnacentral:rRNA from 1 species
AUUGAACGCUGGCGGCAUGCUUUACACAUGCAAGUCGAACGGCAGCGGGGCUUCGGUCCGCCGGCGAGUGGCGAACGGGUGAGUAAUGCAUCGGAACGUGCCCAGUCGUGGGGGAUAACACAUCGAAAGAUGUGCUAAUACCGCAUACGUCCUGAGGGAGAAAGCGGGGGAUCUUCGGACCUCGCGCGAUUGGAGCGGCCGAUGUCGGAUUAGCUAGUUGGUGGGGUAAAGGCCCACCAAGGCGACGAUCCGUAGCGGGUCUGAGAGGAUGAUCCGCCACACUGGGACUGAGACACGGCCCAGACUCCUACGGGAGGCAGCAGUGGGGAAUUUUGGACAAUGGGGGCAACCCUGAUCCAGCCAUGCCGCGUGAGUGAAGAAGGCC